rnacentral:rRNA from 1 species
UACGUAGGGUGCAAGCGUUAAUCGGAAUUACUGGGCGUAAAGCGUGCGCAGGCGGUUAUGCAAGACAGAUGUGAAAUCCCCGGGCUCAACCUGGGAACUGCAUUUGUGACUGCAUAGCUGGAGUGCGGCAGAGGGGAUGGAAUUCCGCGUGUAGCAGUGAAAUGCGUAGAUAUGACGGACGGAACACCGGAUGGCGAAGGCAAUCCCUGGGCCUGCACGUGACGCUCGAUGCGCGAAAGCGUGGGAGC